rnacentral:lncRNA from 1 species
GGUACAGUCAAGUACUUGCGAAGUCAGAGUGUGAUCGAGAUGGGAUUGACCACUCCAAGAGUUGGAGAAGAAUGAGUCGCUGUAUUUCAAUUUAGCAAAAUCUUGGCCAGGGUAAUCCAUCAAAUGGAUUUGAUAUUUUGAAAUACAAUGUGGAAAACCAGAUCAGAGUUGACAGUUGAACUCUGGGGUGUCCUAUGAUCAUUUUGGUCAAGGAGAUGAAUUAUAUGAAAACUAUAUCCGCAUGGGUUCUAAGGAUGUUGUUCUACACAUUCGACCUAUCCGGUCGUCG